rnacentral:pre_miRNA from 1 species
UAUUGUUGUUGCUGCUGCUGCUGCUGCUGCUGCUGUUGUUGUUGUUGUUGUGAUCAUCAUCAUCAGUAUCAUCAUCAUCAUCAUCAUUAUUG